GGGCUUUAUCGAACUGAAAGUCGAAUUAAUUCAUGUGCCCUUCAGGGCUUUAUCGGGCUAAAAUUUGGGUUAACAUGUAUGCCCUUCGGGGCUUUAUCGGAUUGGAAUCUAGAUUAAGAUGUAUGUCCUUCAGGGUCUUACCAGAUUGAAAUCUGAAUUAAUAUGUAUGCCCUUUGGAACUUUACCAGAUCGAGAUCCGGAUUAACACAUAUGCCCUUUGGGGUUUUACCAGAUUGAAAUCUGGAUUUCGAUAAAAGAAAAAAUAUGACAUAUGAG
rnacentral:lncRNA from 1 species